GACAAUGAGAGAUUAAAGAAAUAAAAAUGGACUGCAUAGAUAAAAAAAAUUUGAGUGAGAGUCGAACAUAAGUAAUACUUUGCGCUUAAAGUGUGCAAUACUUCUAAAUUUUAAACUUCUAUAAUAAUUCUUUAACUUACCUUUUCAACUUUGUUGAUUAAAAAUAAAUUUUUUUUUUUUUUUUAUGAAAAAACUUUUUACAAUUUUAUAUGUUGAAUUUGCCGGGACCAUGAAAAUAUAUCAAAUUAAUACAAUUUAGUGAACCUUUAUAAUUAAGACAAAUGUAUAGAGCAGAGUUUAAGAACAAGUGACGUGGACUUAGUCUCACCGUCGCUCAUAUACCUGUGUUUAUUGACGUCACGGUCACGUUUUCUUAUCAGCCACUACAGCCUGGGAUAGAAAAAAUAGAACGAUCUU